GCCAGCAUGGCAUAGUGGUUUGAGUGUUAGACUACGACUCUGGUGAUCAGGAUUCAAUUCCUGGCUCAGCCA